rnacentral:ncRNA from 1 species
AUCAUUCUUUUGGGGGUUGAGCUACUAUCCAAUGAAUGCACCAUAGUGGGGACAGAACUGCUAACACCUAUACAAACACCACAUGAACUUGGCCAAGUAGGGCUUUGCUCUACGUUGGUGCAACUUUUGGGAAA